ensembl:lncRNA
AUGACGACACGGAUGAUGAUGAUGCCGGCGCGUACACAGGACGCAGGGACGGCAGCCAUCACAGCACCGCACCUUGGAGGCAGGAAACCUGGCAGGGGCCCGCGCAUUCCACGAUGGGGAGUGAAGCCCAGCGAUGGAAACCACCUGGAGGACGUGCCGCAGGCUGACGGCCCAGGCAGGUGUUUAGCCUGUGAACCCCACGUCGUCUGUAAAAGUGCCAGUGGCUUUGGGGCCACAGGGUCUUUUUGGAGAAGCGUUUGGUGCUGUUGGCUCCAGGGCGGUUUCCAGGGGAGUGGGAGUGGGUGCGGAGGGACGGACUCCCAUGGGCGUGGGGCUCAGGGCGCGGGGCUGGGGGCACAGGGUACAGGGCGCGGGGGGUUGGGCACUUGCUUGUGUGGGCGGGGUGCCCUCUGCUGGUGGAGGUGGGCAUGGCGGCAGGCUGGGCGCUGCAGGCUGGGAGAAGGCUCUGGCCCCUACACCUUCCUAUGGGCCUCUUCCGGGCCCGAUUUAGCAGUGGUUCUGCAGGUACAUGCAUGCAUAAAGACUCGGUUCUCUAAGUCCCUGCGCUAGAGAGAAGUCGUUGUGUCCCCCUCUGGCAGCUGCCGCGUCUGGAACGCCAAGCCCUGCGGGGAGGCCGCUCCCGAAAGGACCCCCAGGCCCCGCCCGCGGCCUAUGAUGCUGGGAAGUGUCGGCAGGUGGCGCCGCUGCACCGUCUCGCCCCUUCCCUGUUCCUGCGACACCAGCAGGGGGCGGAGCCAGCGCCCGCCCUGCCCCGCGACCCCGCCCCUGGGAAGUCCCCGCGCGACGGGACUCACGGGGCCUUCCGGAACCGCCUUGGACAGGUGCCCAGCGCUCUGCUGUUUGCAGAAGCGUCACCACCUGCAAUUUCCUGCACACUCUGCAGAACAGAGUGUUGGGGGGGGUGGGUAAUGUGAUCCUGGAGUACAGAAGGGGAAACCGAGGCACAAGAGAUUCCUCCUAACCUGGCCUUAAAUCUGACUGCUGGGAAGUGACCACACAGGGCCUGGUGGUUCACUCUUCCCCUGUCCUUCCCAGGGCCCCCCAAUCCCUGGUGGACUGGCCCCUAGGUGGGCUGUGGGCACUGGGAAACCUUCCUUGUGGGGCUCAGUCCUGGGGCCUCCUGCGUGGUGCUGGGUGGAUCUGCCUAGCAGGGACUGCCAGGACUGGGUGCUGGAAACAUUCGGGUUCCUACUUAGGGCUCAGCCCCCAGGGGCAGGAGGUGAGGGGUCAUCCUUUAGCCUUAAUGGCCAGGCCUGACUGGGGCCUGGCAGGUGCAGCAGGACGGGCCACUUGGAUCCCUCAGACCUCCAGUCCCUGCCUCCCAGCUCCAUGGCCUCCCAGAGGUCCCCAGCCAGGACACAGGCCUUUCCAGAGCUGCCUGGGGAGAUCAGGGUCAGGGUGCCCCUCCCUGGCGGAUCCUGUCACACAUGGAGAGUGUGGUCUGCCCGAGUGGCACUGGCACCUGGUGCAGUGUGAGAUCCCAGGCGCAGCGUGGGCGUCUAGGCACAGUGCCGGCUCCCAGGUGCAGCGUGGCGACAAAGCGCAGUGUAAGCUGCUGGGUACAGCAUGGGCACCUCGUGCCUGGGGGAGCUGCAUGCUGGGUGGCAGUUGCUCUGUCCCUUCU